rnacentral:rRNA from 1 species
CGGUGAAUACGUUCCCGGACCUUGCACACACCGCCCGUCAAGCCAUGGAAGCUGGGUGUACCUAAAGUCGGUAACCGUAAGGAGCCGCCUAGGGUAAAACUAGUGACUGGGGCUAAGUCGUAACAAGGUACCC